UACGGAGGGUCCGAGCGUUACUCGGAAUUACUGGGCGUAAAGCGCGCGUAGGCGGCUUGAUAAGCCGGUUGUGAAAGCCCCGGGCUUAACCUGGGAACCGCAUCCGGGACUGUCAGGCUAGAGUGUAGGAGAGGAAGGUAGAAUUCCCGGUGUAGCAGUGAAAUGCGUAGAGAUCGGGAGGAAUACCAGUGGCGAAGGCGGCCUUCUGGACUGACACUGACGCUGAGGUGCGAAAGCGUGGGUAGCAAACAGG
rnacentral:misc_RNA from 1 species